UACAGAGGUCUCAAGCGUUGUUCGGAUUCAUUGGGCGUAAAGGGUGCGUAGGCGGCGCGGUAAGUCGGGUGUGAAAUCUCGGGGCUUAACUCCGAAACUGCAUUCGAUACUGCCGUGCUUGAGGACUGGAGAGGAGACUGGAAUUUACGGUGUAGCGGUGAAAUGCGUAGAUAUCGUAAGGAAGACCAGUGGCGAAGGCGGGUCUCUGGACAGUUCCUGACGCUGAGGCAACGGAAGGCCCAGGGGGAGC
rnacentral:rRNA from 1 species